rnacentral:lncRNA from 1 species
GUGAAGAUAAAGGUCUAAGGGGGGGACCAAUAUAGAAAAUCACGUUUCCCAGCGUAGGGGUCUAUAUGUGUCACAAUAUGAACCAGGGCCUAGUUUUGACGGGUAUAUCAAGCCCAUCAUGGGAUGGAGACCACCCAUUUAUCUAACCUAUAUAAGCACAAUAAAGAUAAUAAGCAACCCAAAUGAAUGAGAAUAAAUAGAUACUCAAAUGGAAACUAAGAUUCAAAAUAGUAACCAACCCAAGCUUGUCCAAAAAAGCCUCUACACUACAAAAAUACCAUAUUAAGUUGGGACAUGCCCCUGACUAUAGCCAAAGAAAUCCAAAAUGACAUUUUAAGACUUAAUGAAAGUAAGAUAAUAAAAUAAUUGGCCUUCCAAAGAAUGGAGGCUCACCACUUCACGGCUGACCAAUGAAUGAACCCAACCACCUAAUACUGCAUAGGAGUAACAGAAAACCCUUU